AUUUAUGUAGUUUAUAAAAACAUUACAUUUUCACUGUAAAAAUAAUAGAAAUAUUCUUAAAUA
rnacentral:tRNA from 1 species